rnacentral:rRNA from 1 species
CAAACCAAAGCUGGCGACCGGCGCACGGGUGAGUAACACGUAUCCAACCUGCCUCAUACUCGGGGAUAGCCUUUCGAAAGAAAGAUUAAUAUCCGAUAGCAUAUAUUUCCCGCAUGGGUUUUAUAUUAAAGAAAUUCGGUAUGAGAUGGGGAUGCGUUCCAUUAGUUUGUUGGGGGGGUAACGGCCCACCAAGCUCGAUGGAUAGGGGUUCUGAGAGGAAGGUCCCCCACAUUGGAACUGAGACACGGUCCAA